GACGAACGCUGGCGGCGUGCUUAACACAUGCAAGUCGAACGGUGAAGCGCCUUCCUUUUUGGUGGGUGUGGAUGAGUGGCGAACGGGUGAGUAACACGUGAGUAACCUGCCCCCUUCUUCUGGAUAACCGCAUGAAAGUGUGGCUAAUACGGGAUAUUCUGGGUCUGUCGCAUGAUGGGUCUGGGAAAGAUAUUGUUUCGGUGGGGGAUGGGCUCGCGGCCUAUCAGCUUGUUGGUGGGGUGAUGGCCUACCAAGGCGGUGACGGGUAGCCGGCCUGAGAGGGUGGACGGUCACACUGGGACUGAGACACGGACCAGACUCCGACGGGAGGCAGCAGUGGGGAAUAUUGCACAAUGGGCGCAAGGCUGAUGCAGCGACGCCGCGUGAGGGAUGGAGGCCGGCGGGUUGUGAACCUCUGUCGCCAGUGAAGCAGGCCUGCCUAGUUUGUGGGUGGGUUGAUGGUAGCUGGAUAAGAAGCGCCGGCUAACUACGUG
rnacentral:rRNA from 1 species